UCUACGGGAGGCAGCAGUAAGGAAUAUUGGUCAAUGGGCGGAAGCCUGAACCAGCCAUGCCGCGUGCAGGAUGACUGCCCUAUGGGUUGUAAACUGCUUUUGUCCAGGAAUAAACCCAGAUACGUGUAUCUGGCUGAAUGUACUGGAAGAAUAAGGAUCGGCUAACUCCGUGCCAGCAGCCGCGGUAAUACGGA
rnacentral:rRNA from 1 species